CCUACGGGGGGCAGCAGUGAGGAAUAUUGGUCAAUGGACGAGAGUCUGAACCAGCCAAGUAGCGUGAAGGAUGACUGCCCUAUGGGUUGUAAACUUCUUUUAUAUGGGAAUAAAACGUUCCACGUGUGGGAUUUUGUAUGUACCAUAUGAAUAAGGAUCGGCUAACUCCGUGCCAGCAGCCGCGGUAAUACGGAGGAUCCGAGCGUUAUCCGGAUUUAUUGGGUUUAAAGGGAGCGUAGGUGGAUUGUUAAGUCAGUUGUGAAAGUUUGCGGCUCAACCGUAAAAUUGCAGUUGAGACUGGCAGUCUUGAGUACAGUAGAGGUGGGCGGAAGUCGUGGUGUAGCGGUGAAAUGCUUAGAUAUCACGAAGAACUCCGAUUGCGAAGGCAGUUCACUGGACUGCAACUGACACUGAGGCUCGAAAGUGUGGGUAUCAAACAGGAUUAGAUACCCGUGUAGUC
rnacentral:rRNA from 1 species